rnacentral:rRNA from 1 species
UACGAAGGACCCAAGCGUUAUCCGGAUUUAUUGGGUUUAAAGGGUGCGUAGGCGGGUUAUUAAGUCAGUGGUGAAAGCCUGCAGCUUAACUGCAGAACUGCCAUUGAUACUGAUGAUCUUGAGUAUGAUUGAGGUGGGCGGAAUGUGUCAUGUAGCGGUGAAAUGCUUAGAUAUGAGGAGGAACACCGGUGGCGAAGGCGACAUCCUGGACCGGCAUUGACGCUGAGGCGCGAAAGCCAGGGGAGCAAACGGG